rnacentral:rRNA from 1 species
AUGGCCAUCCACACCGUGCUUCAGCUACUCAUGCUGCUUUCUUGCAUCACCCGCAGCGCCGCCACCACAGCUACAACUCCAUUAGCAGAGCGAGCUUCAGGUUCCGGAGCUCCAAGACACCUGCUGGGCAUCAGGAAAUUCCCAUCUGAUAAUUGUCCAGACAAGUGCGGCGAUAUUCCAAUCGAGUUUCCCUUCGGCAUCGGCCCUAACUGCUCCCGGCAUACCGGCUUCGCCCUCAACUGCGACAACACCAUGCAACCUCCAAGGCUCUAUCUCAGCUGGGACCGCAUCCCGGAAGUGCUCUCUUUCAAUCGUGGUGUCAGCGGUAUAGAUAUGAACUUCUCGAUUGUCAUCUCAACGAGUCCGGGUGCUGAAGUGUACAAUGCAUCAUUAGAGAUCCCCUCCAGCGGUUUUGAUUUCGGUCUCUCCUAUCUGUCGAUCACAGUGUGCAACUUCGACACCUACUUCAUUGGAAAUCCAAGGAUAAGUUCGAAAUUCCCGCUUUGCACUGAAUGCGAUGGAGAAGGCUCGGGCACCAUCUACAGGAAGACGACAUGCUACCCACCCGUGUACCCCUUAAUUCCUAUUAAUGUCAUCCAGCUCAAGUUUGUCCCCGUCAAGGAGGCCCAGCAAGUGCAGCGCCAAAUUGCGCGGAUCAACAGUCUUAUAUAUUGGAAUAUAAACGACAAACGGACAUGUGUCGAUGCUUCCGCGGAUGAGGACAACUUUGCCUGCGUCAGUGACCACAGCUCGUGCGUCGAUGACAACUGGUACAAGACUGGUUAUUCAUGCGUUUGCGAUCAUGGGUACAUGGGCAACCCGUAUGUACUAGGUGGCUGCUCACGUCACGGAUACAAUCCGUCGAGAAAGCAAAUUAUUCUAUCAGGUAUAGCUACUGGGCUUGGUGUUGGCUUCGUGCUUCUACUUCUUGGCUUAAGUGCAAUGUUUAUCUGCCGUAAAUGGAGAAGAGACAUCCAAAAGAAACUGAGGAGGAAGUAUUAUACAAAGAAUCAUGGCCUCCUUCUGGAACAAUUAAUAUUAUCGAGUGAAGCUGCUAGUGAAACGACAAGGAUUUUCUCGCUGAAGGAGUUAGAUCAGGCAACAAACAACUUUGAUCAUACACGGAUCCUUGGCCGUGGAGGGCAUGGCAUGGUGUACAAAGGCAUCUUAUGUGAUCAGCAUGUGGUGGCUAUAAAGAAAUCUAAUGCCAUUGAGCAGGUUGAGAUUGAGCAAUUCAUCAAUGAGGUUGUCAUCCUUUCACAGAUUAACCACAGAAACAUCGUAAAGCUUUAUGGCUGCUGCCUAGAAACUGAGGUCCCACUGUUAGUGUAUGACUUUGUUCCUAAUGGUUCCUUGUUUGAAAUCCUCCAUUCUGGUUCAAGCAACACUUUAUCUUUGUCCUGGGAUGACUGCCUAAGAAUUGCUGCACAAGCUGCAGGAGCUCUCUGUUAUCUCCACUCUGCAGCUUCCAUAUCAGUCUUCCAUCGUGAUGUCAAGUCUUCCAAUAUACUCCUAGAUGCAAACUACACUGCAAAGGUUUCCGACUUUGGUGCAUCAAGACUGGUGCAUAUAGAUCAAACUCAUGUUACCACACGCGUACAAGGCACAUUCGGGUACUUGGAUCCCGAGUAUUUUCACACUUGGCAGCUAAAUGAAAAGAGCGAUGUGUACAGCUUCGGCGUCGUUCUUUUAGAACUACUUCUCAGAAGGAAACCCGUUUUUACUGGUGAGUCGGGCUCCGCUCAGAGUUUAUGUUGUUACUUUCUUGAGGAGAUGCAGCAGAGGCCAGCAAAAGAGAUAGUCGCUGCUCAAGUUCGUGAAGAAGCGACGGAGGAAGAAAUCACCAAUGUUGCCUCCCUCGCAGAGAUGUGCUUACGGCUCCAGGGUGAAGAAAGGCCUACGAUGAAGGAAGUGGAGAUGUCUUUGCAGCUUCUGCAUACGAAAAGGUCGAUGUCAUCCCGUGUCACUCCAGAAAAUGGUCGAGCUGAAGCUGGUGUUCCGUGUCACUCAGGUAUCGGAGUUGAUCCAGCCUCCGCAGACAGCCAACGAUGUUAUAGCUUGGAGCAAGAGUUCAUGUCAUUCGCUAGCAUACCACGUUAA